AGAGGGUGCGAGCGUUAAUCGGAAUGACUGGGCGUAAAGGGCACGUAGGUGGUUGGACAAGUCAUAUGUGAAAGACCUGGGCUUAACCUAGGAAGUGCAUGUGAUACUAUUCGACUGGAGUACAGUAGAGGGAAGUGGAAUUUCCGGUGUAGCGGUGAAAUGCGUAGAUAUCGGAAGGAACACCAGUGGCGAAGGCGGCUUUCUGGACUGAUACUGACACUGAGGUGCGAAAGCGUGGGGUAGCAAACAGGAUUAGAUACCCUGGUAGUCCACGCUGUAAACGCUGAGAACUAGAUGUUGGCGAGCAUAGACUCGCGAGUGUCGUAGCUAACGCGCUAAGUUCUCCGCCUGGGAGUACGGCCGCAAGGCUA
rnacentral:rRNA from 1 species